AUGGGUAAAGAUCUCUCCAUUAUGAAAAAUGUUUUUGUGAUGUUCUUCAGUUUCCCUGGGGCCACUGGUAGCUGUUUUGGCACAAUUUGUUGUUCGACUCUGUAUGUUCAGGCCAUGAAUGUUGUUCGGAUGGGGGAUGCCAGUGCGGAAGCGUUUGAGCAUAUGUUGGCCGGACUGAAGGCAUUGCUGGUGAGCGGUGCACCAUUUGCAGAGAAGAGGGAUGGCUUGGGCACUUGCCCUGACCGGGGCGGAUGCUCUGAAGAAACGGCGGAGGCCGGGGGAAAUGCAAGAACUAUGGAAUGGAAGGGCGCCACCUGGACACGUGCACUUGGCUGCUUGGUGAUGAUCACUAAUCAUAAUCAAAUAUGA
rnacentral:rRNA from 1 species